AGAAUGACUCUCGGCAACGGAUAUCUAGGCUCUUGCAUCGAUGAAGAACGUAGCGAAAUGCGAUACUUGGUGUGAAUUGCAGAAUCCCGUGAACCAUCGAGUCUUUGAACGCAAGUUGCGCCCGAAGCCAUUAGGUUGAGGGCACGUCUGCCUGGGCGUCACAU
rnacentral:rRNA from 8 species